rnacentral:rRNA from 1 species
CGGCGGACGGGUGAGUAACGCGUGGGUAACCUGCCUCAUACAGGGGGAUAACAGUUGGAAACGGCUGCUAAUACCGCAUAAGCGCACAGUACCGCAUGGUACGGUGUGAAAAACUCCGGUGGUAUGAGAUGGACCCGCGUCUGAUUAGAUAGUAGGCGGGGUAACGGCCCACCUAGUCUUCGAUGGAUAGGGGUUCUGAGAGGAAGGUCCCCCACAUUGGAACUGAGACACGGUCCAA